GAGAGAAUCAUUUGUUAAAUUUGACCCAAGAGCUCUCACUUUCCUCUCUCAAUUUUCUCUCAACUCAAAGUUGCACAACCACCUCAAACCACCAACAACCACCACCGGAAUUCCAAAACCACCGCGCCGGAAAACUUUUUCUUAUUUGUUUCUUCUUCUCUCCUUCUCCGGUACAGCCCCAUACUCUUCUAUUCCCUUUCAAUUCUCAAGGAUCAAAUCAAGCUUUUCAUCAAUCAAGAACAUUGAAGAGCGUUUAUGGUGUCGAGGUGAAGAGUUGAAGUUUUCCUCUUCAUCAAUUCUUCAAGGAUUCAAGAUCCUCCUCUCUUAUUAUCAUCAAUUCAACUUUGAUUUGGUAUUUUCUUGGAGAAUUACAAGAUUUUACUCAUCAAUUUCAACUCAAAGCUUCAAGUACAAGUAA